rnacentral:lncRNA from 1 species
AGACAGUGUCUUGCACUGUCACCUGGGCUGGAGUGCAGUGGCGCAGUCUCGGCUCACUGCAACCUCCACCUCCUGGGUUCAAGCGAUUCUCCUGCCUCAGCCUCCCAAGUAGCAGGGAUUACAGGCACCUGCCACCACACCUAGCUAAUUUUUUGUAUUUUUAGUAGAGACAGGGUUUCACUAUGUUGGCCAGGCUGGUCUCAAACUCCUGACCUCGUGAUCUGCCCGCUUCGGCCUCCCAAAGUGCUGGGAUUACAGGCAUAAGCCACCGCGCCCGGCUCCCCAAAGUCUUAUGUUUUAAACUUUUUGACAUUUCUUCUAAGAUGUCCAGAAUGCUAGUACCUGCACCUUAAUAAAUGUUUGUGAAUAAAUACAUUAUUGAAAUCUUAGGCAGGUGUGCCACAUAGCUUAAAUCUGAGACACUGUGUUCUUUAGUCAGAUCAUGCAUAUUCUUAGAAUAGUAACCUCAAAGGUUUAUACCCUUGCUACCUUUUUUAUAUUUUUUGUAGAGACAGGGUCUUGCUCUGUUUCUCAGACUUUUUGAACUCCUGGGCUUAAGCAGGCCUCCCACCUUGGCUUCCUAAAGUGCUGGGAUUACAGAUAUGAGCCACUGCGCCCAGUCCUGAUACUGUGGCUCAUUUUAAUUCUCACGUAGUAUUUAGUUUCAUUUUGCAGUUUGAAGAAAUAGGCCCAGAGAUGUUAAAGGGGCAGGCCCAGAACUUGAAUCCAGAUCUUGUGGUGAGAAAUUCUUGUUUUACUAUCACGUUGCUUUUUAAAGCCAGCCUGCUUUUUCCAGUUGGGAGGCCUCGGGGAGAAAAGUCUGACCCAAGUGAGAAACACCUGUAAUAUCUACCAGAUGCCAGCAGGGUGUCCCAUGGUGCUGUCUUUGAUCCAUGUUCUUACCCUGUGUGCUGAGGGUUGUUCUAGAGUAGGACUACAUCUAGUCACAGUGGCCAUGUUCCAGAGCCUGGCAGCAAGAAAGAGGGAUGCCUAGCUCCUUGGCUUUCCAGUGUGCAGUGCACAGCCAGCUCUCUCAGAGAAGCCCUGGCCCUCUUUUGACCCCUACUAUUGAGGCUGGCCCCACAGGAGGACAGCUGGUCACACAGUGGCUGGGGCCUGGCUAGCCACUCAAUAACUACACAGCAGCCCCACAAAAAAAUCAUAGAAAAGAACCUGUGAAAGGGUAAAUGUUUAAAACAUCUGCAUUUGUGUUGAUAGCUGAGUAUACACUUAAAUUUGUAUUAGUAACAGAUCCACAAAAAUGAACCACUCUAGGAAUUUUAAGUUUUAAAAGCCAAUGUGUGGUAACUUCCAGUUUCCAAUAAAAAUGUUUGCAUUACACUUAGCCUACACAUACUAUCUCUUAGGUAUCAGUUUUUGUAUUCAGCAACCCUAGUUGGUAAUCUACAGUGUCAAAACUAUCACUUAUAUGAAAACAAAUGAGCAAAUAGCCCUUUAAAAAUUUCCUUUCCCAGUGCUCGUUACGCACUUUGUACAAAUGUCUGUAACUGUUUUAUAAUUAUUUCUUUGCAAGGCUUGGUUUCUUCAGUAGAGAAGAUUCUUAGAAGUAUCCCCAGUGACAGUACAGCUCCUGGCAUUUAGAAUUCUGGUCUUCCCUCAGGCCUAGCAGAGAGCUUUCUGCCACUACUCAGGCAACCAAGGGUGAAGUGCUUCAAGUAGUAUUUGUGGACAGCAGCAGGUGACCAUUGUGAGGUAGAUAUUUUGUUCUAAUUUUCCAGAUGAGGAAGCUGAGACCCUAAAAGGUUAGGUGACAGGUUAUACAACUUGGAGUGUGGGAGGAGGAGAGAGGAACCUGAACAGGGCAAGUUGGGGAUCUGACUUUUGUUUGGGUAGAUGUAGGCACAUUGUAUUUUUGGCUUAGAUGCUUUAUUCAUCAUGGCUGAAGGUAAUACCAUUUACUCACUCACCGAAAAUUGUUUACAAUAAUCUAGAUGAAUUUGCUGUCUUUGGACAUCUGUCUUUUGACUGGACCCCAGUAUAUAGUCUGUGGAAGCUCACUUAAGGAGAGAGCUCCUUUUUGUUUGGUUAGAGAAAUUUUCUGUCCUAAAAGUAGAAAUAGCCCCUUCUAGGUAAGGAUGGAGCAUUUGAUCAUACUGGUUUCAUUAUAUUCCUCUAACAGUUGGAACCGAUUGUUUUUGAGUACUUGUUUCAAACUUCUGAGUAUUUUCCUUCUGGAAAAUAGCUCAGUGUUUAAAAUUUACAUGAACUUAAAAGGUUAAUUUUUUUUUAAAGAAUGUUUGAGGAGCAAUCAAUUCUGAUUUUGUCUUAUGGAUAGAAAUAGAAUUAGCCAUUUUCCUCAAGAAAAGUGAUUCUUCUGAAUCUUAGCUUUUCAGUAAUGAGAACUGGACUGUUUCCACUUGACCUCUAUUUCCUGUUAGUGGGAAACCGCUUCCCAGAGGUGCUGUGUGAAAGAUUGCUGGGGAAAGGGUUUCUAGAUCCCAGCAUAACAAGUUCAAGAGUCCAGCGAUAUUGUCAUUAGAAUAAUGGUCUUCAUUAAGUACUAGUUUUCAUAAUCCUGAAGCUUCAUUUUCACCAAUUUGAAAGGCAGCUAGGGAGGAGAAGACUAUGCAGGGAAGGAGGAAAACUCUGGAGUGCAUCACAGAGACCUUGAGUGAGUUAAGGCAGGGAAGAAGCAGAUUUGCUAUCCACUGAAUGAAAAUAAGAAGAAUUCCAUUGUCCAAGGUCAGAGCAAGAACACAAAGGUUUUAGUUUACUUAGUUAAUUCCUUAGGUUUGGACAUUACAGGAGACAUGGGGGUGACCAUAGCAAUUUAGCUGAUAAAUGUAUCAGAAACUCUUUCAUCAUUUUCUGUCCCCUCCUAUCUUAGGCUGACCGGUUCCCUGAUGUGUUACCUGCUUCUGCUACUGAUCCAAACUGCAGAACUUCUCAUUCAUCCCCAAGGCCUCCAGGCAGUAUCCAAUGGGGAAUCAGCUCUAAAAGGAACCAGACCAACGUUUUCCAGCCCCUUCAUUCUGCUUCCCUCUGUGUGAGGAAAGGAUAGAAAUGUUCAGGACAUCAUCAUACAGGCUCCUCAUCUACAAAGUUCCAGUAGCAGUGACGCCUACACGGAAGACUUGGAACUGCAAACAGGCUGGGGUCACCUCAGUGACAUCUGACGCUGUCCAACCAGAAGUUCGAUUUUUGUUCUGGGGGUGAAGGAGGAAACAGACUGUACUAAAGGACUAAAAUAAUUUGUCUAUACUAUCUCACUUGUUUUUAUUUUUGGCGGGAGAGGAGGGGUGUUGGGAUAGAAUUUCACAUCCUAUCUUGGAGUGAAGGGGAGGAUGGGGAGGCUCAGCCCUUCACCCAAGAAUAACCCAGUAAUGACAUCUCUACGCGUGGGAAGUGUUUCCCUCCACACUGAGAGGAUCUGAGGCUGCACCCCAGUGGGAUUCCCUGCUUGAGUUGGAAGGCCAUCUCGCCAUGAGAUGCAUAUCAUAGCGAGAGCGCAGAGGGCUUAGCCGGCCGGGGAGGAAAUGCCAAAAGGAAGAGAGGCUCGAAGUCGAAAGGGCUUCCCCCAGUUUGGAGGUGGGGACCAUGCUGUGCAUGAGCGACUGAAGAGCCGAGUGUCCGCCGUGGCCUGUGCCCUCCGCUGAGGGUCUAACAGGGACGCGACGGUGCUGGACACCGUGUCUGAGUCACGGGAGACGGCCCAGCUGUGCCCAGCGGGCCAGCGCCAGACCCUGGCGUCCUCCAUCUUCUCUCCUGAGCUC